CCUACGGGGGGCAGCAGUGGGGAAUAUUGGACAAUGGGGGCAACCCUGAUCCAGCCAUGCCGCGUGUGUGAAGAAGGCCCUCGGGUUGUAAAGCACUUUCAGUGAGGAAGAACGCCUGGUGGUUAAUACCCAUCAGGAAAGACAUCACUCACAGAAGAAGCACCGGCUAACUCCGUGCCAGCAGCCGCGGUAAUACGGAGGGUGCGAGCGUUAAUCGGAAUUACUGGGCGUAAAGCGCGCGUAGGUGGCUUGAUAAGCCGGUUGUGAAAGCCCCGGGCUCAACCUGGGAACGGCAUCCGGAACUGUCCAGCUAGAGUGCAGGAGAGGAAGGUAGAAUUCCCGGUGUAGCGGUGAAAUGCGUAGAGAUCGGGAGGAAUACCAGUGGCGAAGGCGGCCCUCUGGACUGACACUGACACUGAGGUGCGAAAGCGUGGGUAGCAAACAGGAUUAGAUACCCUAGUAGUC
rnacentral:rRNA from 1 species